rnacentral:rRNA from 1 species
UGAGGAAUAUUGGUCAAUGGGCGAGAGCCUGAACCAGCCAAGUCGCGUGAAGGAAGACAGUCCUAAGGAUUGUAAACUUCUUUUAUACGGGAAUAACGGGCGAUACGAGUAUUGCAUUGAAUGUACCGUAAGAAUAAGCAUCGGCUAACUCCGUGCCAGCAGCCGCGGUAAUACGGAGGAUGCGAGCGUUAUCCGGAUUUAUUGGGUUUAAAGGGUGCGUAGGUUGUUCGGUAAGUCAGCGGUGAAACCUGAGCGCUCAACGUUCAGCCUGCCGUUGAAACUGCCGGGCUUGAGUUCAGUGGCGGCAGGCGGAAUUCGUGGUGUAGCGGUGAAAUGCAUAGAUAUCACGAGGAACUCCGAUUGCGAAGGCAGCUUGCCAUACUGCGACUGACACUGAAGCACGAAGGCGUGGGUAUCAAACAGGAUUAGAUACCCUGGUAGUCCACGCAGUAAACGAUGAUUACUAGGAGUUUGCGAUAUACCGUCAAGCUUCCACAGCGAAAGCGUUAAGUAAUCCACCUGGGGAGUACGCCGGCNCGGU